rnacentral:rRNA from 1 species
AACGCUGGCGGCAUGCCUUACACAUGCAAGUCGAACGGCAGCACGGGAGCAAUCCUGGUGGCGAGUGGGCGAACGGGUGAGUAAUAUAUCGGAACGUGCCCAGUCGUGGGGGAUAACGUAGCGAAAGCUACGCUAAUACCGCAUACGAUCUAUGGAUGAAANCGGGGGAUCGCAAGACCUCGCGCGAUUGGAGCGGCCGAUAUCAGAUUAGGUAGUUGGUGAGGUAAAGGCUCACCAAGCCGACGAUCUGUAGCUGGUCUGAGAGGACGACCAGCCACACUGGGACUGAGACACGGCCCAGACUCCUACGGGAGGCAGCAGUGGGGAAUUUUGGACAAUGGGCGCAAGCCUGAUCCAGCAAUGCCGCGUGCAGGAUGAAGGCCUUCGGGUUGUAAACUGCUUUUGUACGGAACGAAACGGUGAGCUCUAAUACAGUUUGCUAAUGACGGUACCGUAAGAAUAAGCACCGGCUAACUACGUG